rnacentral:snoRNA from 2 species
GCCCCCUCAGGAUUGCACCUGGAGAGUUUCCAGUACUCUACCAGUCUCAGCUACGGGAGGAAGAGUUAAGCAGAGGAUAACCAUUCCAUUCCUAGCUUGGGUAGUGGCUAGUGAGUGGAAGGCAAUCUGCUACAAGG